CCUUUUGUUCAUGGAAUGUUCGACUUUGAUAAAGUCGGUGUCCACCAGGAUAGCUUUAUAGUAUCUCCUUGUUUUGAGCGGAUUCUCCGUAUCCACAAAGUUUUUAUCAUUGUAGACUGGCUUUAUUAGCUGGUCUAGUGGAUAUCCUUCAUAUUCUUUAUCAAGGGCAAGAACUGGCAUUACCUGAGUGGUAACGAAUUUGAAUUCCUCCUUGAUGGGAGGAGUUGUUGCUG
rnacentral:lncRNA from 1 species